rnacentral:lncRNA from 1 species
UAUCUGCAGGAACAGCAAUGGGCACUUAUGCUGCAGCAUAACUCUUCAAGACUUCUGACUUUGAAACCACAGCAUGUCCAGGAAGAGGUUUCCAUUCCUGUGCUUUCUGAGCAUUUGAACCUACUAAGAUAAAAGAGCAUUUGAUCUCUCUUCCUUCUGUCUCUGGCAUCCUCUAUCACAAGCAUGAAGUGGAGAUUCAUGGAGCCCUCAGGCUAGUUCUUUGGUUUUCAGGGCCUCUGCUCCUGUGGUCACCUCUGCUCCUGAGGACUCAAGCUGAUGGAAGCCUUGACAUGUGCUCCCACCAUCUCCCUGGCAAG